UACGUAGGGGGCUAGCGUUGUCCGGAAUCAUUGGGCGUAAAGAGCGUGUAGGCGGCCCGGUAAGUCCGCUGUGAAAGUCGGGGCUCAACCCUCGGAUGCCGGUGGAUACUGUCGGGCUCGAGUACGGAAGAGGCGAGUGGAAUUCCUGGUGUAGCGGUGAAAUGCGCAGAUAUCAGGAGGAACACCUAUUGCGAAGGCAGCUCGCUGGGACGUUACUGACGCUGAGACGCGAAGCGUGGGAGCAAACAGG
rnacentral:rRNA from 1 species